rnacentral:misc_RNA from 1 species
GAUGAAGAACGCAGCGAAAUGCGAUACGUAAUGUGAAUUGCAGAUUUUAGUGAAUCAUCGAAUCUUUGAACGCACAUUGCGCCCGCCAGUAUUCUGGCGGGCAUGCCUGUUCGAGCGUCAUUUCAACCAUCAAGCCUUCGCUUGUGUUGGGGCCCCGCGGCUGCCGCGGCCCCCUAAAUCCAGUGGCGGGCUCGUCGUCGUACCGAGCGCAGUAGUCAUCCUCGCUCCGGGAACCCGACGGGUGCCGGCCGUGAAACCCCCCCCAUCAAGGUUGACCUCGGAUCAGGUAGGAAUACCCGCUGAACUUAAGCAUAUCAAUAAGCGGAGGA